rnacentral:rRNA from 1 species
GAUGAACGCUGGCGGCGUGCCUAAUACAUGCAAGUCGAGCGAACAGACGAGGAGCUUACUCCUCUGACGUUAGCGGCGGACGGGUGAGUAACACGUGGAUAACCUACCUAUAAGACUGGGAUAACUUCGGGAAACCGGAGCUAAUACCGGAUAAUAUAUUGAACCGCAUGGUUCAAUAGUGAAAGACGGUUUUGCUGUCACUUAUAGAUGGAUCCGCGCCGCAUUAGCUAGUUGGUAAGGUAACGGCUUACCAAGGCAACGAUGCGUAGCCGACCUGAGAGGGUGAUCGGCCACACUGGAACUGAGACACGGUCCAGACUCCUACGGGAGGCAGCAGUAGGGAAUCUUCCGCAAUGGGCGAAAGCUUGACGGAGCAACGCCGCGUGAGUGAUGAAGGUCUUCGGAUCGUAAAACUCUGUUAUUAGGGAAGAACAAAUGUGUAAGUAACUAUGCACGUCUUGACGGUACCUAAUCAGAAGGCCACGGCUAACUACGUG